UUUCUCUGGAAUCAAUACUUAUGUAGUCAUAUUGAUCUGUUACAAAUAAAGAAGUUAGAACAUAACAGAAUAAGUACACAAUUUCUCUUAUUACACUAAUGAAACAUGUAAUUUACACAGAGACAGUCUAACCUCAAUUGGGUGCUUCACAUUUCUAUCUUUUUUCCUGUUUAUUGCUUUGUCAAAUAUAUGUUCUUUAAUUUGAAAUGUUCCACAAACCAAGCUCUAAACUGUGAAUAUAGUUUGCAUUUGUUUUGGCCCAAAAUUUUUUGUCUUGACUUGCUGAAGUGGAGUUGACUCAAUUGAAUCACUAGAUGUAUAUCUGUUACCAAGUUCAAUACCACAGUGAAAUUUGAUUACUUAUUAGGGACUCAAAAAUUUCCCAAGUCCAAACAAACUUCCACUCAUGUGGACUUAAAGAGCCAUAAAACUCCCCUUUUAAAAUUAUUUUUGAACAGGUAAGUCAUUGGGGGUGGGUGGAUCUUUUAUUAUAACCUAGUUUUAUAUCAAAUUUACUGAACUUUUUUAUGUGAGCCAUCUUUUCCAGACAAAAAAUAACUUCAAUUGUGCCAGAAAGAUUACAAUAAUUGGAGAAGUGCGUCUGCAGUACCCAUAUCUGCAUCAUCAGGAAUAGUGACAAAAUCAAGCUUCAGUCUAGGAUUACAGACAAUUGGUAGAAGCUGGUGAAAUCUUGUCAAGGCUGAGUCUAACACUACAAUGAUUAUCUCUGCAAAAGAAACCACAAGAGCAUCUGCAUCUUGAUUCUAGCUGAUACAACUGUUCCACUUUAAAAUCUAUUACAUUUUCAAAUUACACAAAACUAGAGAACAAUAUAUUUGUAUGAUUUAUGAGCAGUAAGUUCAUAUGAUUACAGUGGAAGCUCAAUCUAGAACAGCCACCUCUCCAAAACAGUUGCCUCCCUUAUGACCACUGUUUUCCCUUUUCUGACAGGCAAGCAUUACUUUUGCUCUUAUUUAAGUCUCUCCACAAUGAUCACCUUUCUACUAGGGCAACAAUGACUUAAGUGCCUCCUAACACAGAAGACAAGGCAAGAUCAGAGUUAAACUCAAGUGAACAAAUAUGAUUUUAUCAAGUGAAGGAAACAAUAGGUCAAGGGAGGGGUAAGGAUUAUAAGCUGAGAUAGUUGCCAGGCAGUGCCAUCAUAGUUGGUUUUUACACAUAGCUGAGGUUAAAACUGAAAGGAUUGAUAAGUGGAAGAGGGAGGGGGCUUAAACCAGAAUAAAAAAAAACCAUGCUUUAACAUGAAAAACUGCCUGAGAAACCAGAAAGCAAAAGAACAAGAAUCCCCUGUCAACAGUAACAGCAAUGUUUUGAGAUGUUGAGCUGAAGCUCAACAGACGGAUCUUCUAUAUGGUAUAAGUACUAUGUUUCAAUAAAGCUGCUACUGGAGACAAAACCCUCAAAAAUUUCAAAGCUGAAACAAGAAGCUCAAUUAGCUCAAACAGGAAUACACUCUAUUAAACUUGAAAUUAUUUAGUACAUAUAAGGCAUCUCAUUCAAGGACUGAUUGGUGAUCUUAAUACUGCAGAAAGUCUGAUUAGAUUAAAGGUAAUCUCUGAGUUUGAAAAUCUCUUAGAUAGUGAAUCUGUAUUUACAAGUGCAAAGUUUCCACACAAGUCUGUCUUGACUUUCUCUGAUGCUUUUUCACAUAAUAACAUACCAUGAUUUUGAGUGCAAUUUGGUGUAACUAACCACAUGUAAUUGUUCAAAGACUACAAUAUACACUUGCCCACAAUUUUGUUGUCUUUGAAAAAUUUUACUUGAGCUUAUUAACACCAAAUUUCAGUCAAAAUCAUGUUAUUAUCUAUAAUCAGAGAGGAAGACUAAAGAAUUCUUAAAAAUAAAAUAGUAGCAGAGAGCUGUUGCAGGCUUUGCAGGAAACAUUGAAACCCCUGUGAAUAAAAUUAUUUCUCUUUCA